rnacentral:sRNA from 1 species
GCUGGGUGGGGUUGGUGCACACCUGUAAUCCCAGCAGCUUGAGAGGCUGAGGCAGGAGGAUCACGAGUUCAAAGCCAGCCUCAAGCCAGCCUCAGCAACUUAGUGAGACCCUGUCUCAA